rnacentral:rRNA from 1 species
UACGAGGGGGGCGAGCGUUGUUCGGAAUUAUUGGGCGUAAAGGGCGCGUAGGCGGCCAACUAAGUCAGACGUGAAAUCCCUCGGCUUAACCGGGGAACUGCGUCUGAUACUGCCGUGCUUGAGGACUGGAGAGGAGACUGGAAUUUACGGUGUAGCGGUGAAAUGCGUAGAUAUCGUAAGGAAGACCAGUGGCGAAGGCGGGUCUCUGGACAGUUCCUGACGCUGAGGCACGAAGGUCAGGGGAGCAAACGGG